AACACACCGCCUUGUGUUGUCCUCCCUCCAUCCCCUCCCUCUCUCUCUCGCUCCCUUCCCUUCUCCUUUAAGAGAGACUUUUGGCAGCAUGGAACAAUUUCAGACCCAUUUGUGGGAUGGCGUCACGUGACGCGGACGGGAGAUGCUCAUUGGCUGCUCCGGUGCCGCCGGUCUGGAUGUGAUUCUGACUCCUACAAUGAUCCCUCCGUCUGGACCCUCCUCCUCUUCACCACAUCGCCGUCACAUUUCAUCUGGGCACUAAUGGCACAACUUAAUUAGUCUUGUUAGGCGGUGGGCUUCGAUUUCAAGUGUUUUUUUCUUCUUUUCAUCAUCACUUAAUAUUGACUUUGAUGAAAGUUAAUCUAACAUCUGGGCUGCGGUCCAAAAUCCUCCUUUUUACUCACUCGUGUCUUCUCCAGGAGCACCUGAAGCCACUCGGGUAAAGCUGAAAUAGAAAUGCGGAACACAACAGCAGAAACGAAGCUGCUUUCUGGGCGGCGUCGGAGCGCUGGACUCCUGCCACGCUCCUCCUCGGCUCUGAAUAUCUGCAGCAGCGACACGCGGAUCGUGAAUUGGCAUAUUCCAAAGACGCCGCUCGCCGCUCGGCGUGAAGCGUGGAGCGGCUCUCUCGUGUCGGAGCUUCACGCCAGCUGUGCUCCAGCUGUACUUUCCCUCUGAUGGACGUCUGGCGUCACUCAUUGGACGCUGUGGUUUGGGAUACCGGCAGUUAAUAAAUCAGCCAGGUGUCCAAUAAUAA